GACGAACGCUGGCGGCGUGCCUAAUACAUGCAAGUCGAACGCAGUGGGGACGGGUGAGUAACACGUGGGUAACCUCCCAUCAGAGGGGAUAACACUUGGAAACAGGUGCUAAACCGAUAUUGAUGGCUGGACCCGCGGUGCAUUAGCUAGUUGGUGGGGGAAAGGCUCACUUAGGCGACGAUCUCUAGCUGGUCUGAGAGGGUGAUCGGCCACACGGGGAAUGAGACACGGCCCAGACUCCUACGGGAGGCAGCAGUAGGGAAUCUUGGGCAAUGGACGAAAGUCUGACCGAGCAACGCCGCGUGAGUGAAGAAGGUUUUCGGAUCGUAAAACUCUGUUGUUAGAGAAGCGGUAUCUAACCAGAAAGCCACGGCUAACUACGUGCCAGCAGCCGCGGUAAUAC
rnacentral:rRNA from 1 species